UACGUAGGGUGCAAGCGUUGUCCGGAAUUACGUGGCGUAAAGAGCUCGUAGGCGGUCUGUCACGUCGGCUGUGAAAUCCCGAGGCUCAACCUCGGGUCUGCAGUCGAUACGGGCAAACUAGAGUAUUGCAGGGGAGACUGGAAUUCCUGGUGUAGCGGUGAAAUGCGCAGAUAUCAGGAGGAACACCGGUGGCGAAGGCGGGUCUCUGGGCUGACACUGACGCUCAUGCACGAAAGCGUGGGGAGCAAACAGG
rnacentral:rRNA from 1 species